CCCCUCUCCGGGUUGCACCUGGAGAGUCUCCAGUGCUCUACCAGCCUCGACUAUGGGAAGGAAAAUCAAGCAGAGACAUACCCAUUCCAUUCCUAGCUUGGGUAGUGGCUAGCGAGUGGAAAGCACUCGGCUAGAAAU